CAGACUAACGGCGGCACAUAUACUAAAACUGGAUCGAUACAUAGCAGAUUAGCAUGGCCCCUGCAAAAGGAUGAAAUCCGUGAGGCUCUACAUCUUUUA
rnacentral:snRNA from 1 species